rfam:Vogesella sp. EB contig00041, whole genome shotgun sequence.
GAAGUCGGCCAGGCAGUCGCCGCGUGCUUGCACGGGGAGGAAAGUCCGGGCUCCAAAGGGCAGGAUGCUGGCUAACGGCCAGGCGUCGUGAGGCGACGGAAAGUGGAACAGAGAGCUGAACCGCCGAUGGCCGGAUGUGUCACCCGCAAGGGUGCGCAUCGUACUGUUCAGGGCAGAAUACGCGCUGCAUGCAGCGUACGUUUUGCGUUAGUGCUGGUUCGCCAGCCCGCUGACAGCGGCACAGGCAAGGGUGAAAAGGUGCGGUAAGAGCGCACCGCGGACGUAGCGAUACGGACGGCAGGCUAAACCCCAUCCGGAGCAAGACCAAAUAGGGGUACAUUGGCGUGGCCCGCGCUGUACCCGGGUAGGUUGCUUGAGCUUGUCGGUAACGGCAAGACUAGAGGAAUGACUGUCCAACGACAAAACCCGGCUUAUCGACCGACUUCCCAC